CUCCUUCCAUGGGUGCCACGUUAUCACUGUUGCAUCGUUGCUUUCUUGUUGCCACCCUUUCGUUCAUUUAUUGAACAGAAACGUAUGGAGCACCUGCUAUAUGCCAGGCACAAUUCUAGACUCCAAAGGUUCAAUGGUGAACAAGAAAGUCCAAAACAUUCCUUCUCUCAUGGAACUUACUUUCCAAUAGAAGAAGAUAGACUUUAAGCAAAAUAAAUUUGUAUCUUACAUAAAGCUGCAUAUGAAACCCUGAUCAGUGCCACAAAGGAAGAGAAAUGGGAAAGAACAGGGCAUGAGGUUUUUGUCCCUCUCUUAAAGUGAAUGGUCACAGAGCCAUGAGCAGGUGGAAGAUGCAGGUGGAGGCAUCUUCCCUGUCACCGUUGGUAUGUCUGGUUGAAACCUGCAACAAGUUGGGUUCUCUACCUGGCUGACGCCAUGUUGCCUGCUUCUUCACUGUGCAUGUGGAGCCUGAGGGGAAUGUUUCAAGGAAGAGGGGACAAGCAAGUCAGCAUCUGGAGGAAUGGAGGCAGCACUGUGUUGCAUGGCUCCAGAGAACACCACUCUCUUUGUGUUCUAUGCAACAUGCCCACGAGUUAUGCAUUGCAGCACCUGGCCAUAAAUCAUCACCAACCCUAUGGAUGAAGCAACACCCCAGGGAGGGUGGAGAAGUACAGGGGAAGGAGCCAGGGCCCCCAUGAAACAAACAUUUCUUCCAGGAAUUUCCCAAGCCCAGACCAUUGCAUGAAAAGAGAAAUAAAAUACUCUUUUGUUUCCAUCACAUUGUUUUUGGUCUCAGUUGGAGCAGCAGACCCUAUAUUGCAACAAACAGACUCAAUCACCCUCAUUAUUAGGAAAGUCAGCUCUGCAGCAAUUCUUCCCUUAAACACCACAGGGUGUUUUGGGCGUUAAAGGAAAAACCUUAGAAAAACUAAAUGUAACAGAAUUUAAUUGAGUGAAAAAUGGUUCUUGAAUUGGGCAAUCCCCAAAACAGAAUAGGUUCAGAGAUGCUUCCAGGCUACCGCGUGGUCGAGGAUGAUUUAUGGGCAGAAAAAAGAGAGUGACAUAUGGAAAACAGAAGUAAGGAACAGAAACAGCUGGAUGGGUUCUAGCUUGGCGUUUGCCUUCUUUGAACAUGGUUUGAAGAGUUGGCUGUCUGUGAUUGGCUGAAACCCAGAGAUUGGUACUAGAGUUGGUUAUAGCCUGUUUACACAUCCAGUUAGGUGAUAGUUCACUAUGUAUGAAGAAACAUUUAAACCAAACUGAAUUUAACAUGGAUAAGACAAGGUCUUUCGUUAAAGGGCCAUGAGAGUGAAGGCAACUUUCACCUCCAGAGCCCCUGCCUUCUGUGCCUGGAUGCCCAGAGGGUCAUCAGCCUGUGUCAUCACGUGGAAUGUCAUCCAUCCUCCUCUGAGAGCCUCAGCAGGGUAAAGAUAUGGCAAAACCCAGACUGUUGUAUUCAUCGCUGUAUACCUAGAGUCCAUCACUGUACUAGCACACAGUAGGGCUCAGAGGUGCUGCUUGCUCAGUAAAGGACUGAAUGAACACAUUGAUGGCUAUAGCCAGUGAGUGAUGCACCAGAUGGGUGCUCACAUUCCUCCAUGCUUUGGCUCCAUCCAACCUAUCUGCUUCCUCUACAAUGUCUUCUUCCCAUGUGGACCAACAGCAGCAACAGCACCUGGGGACUUGUUAGAAUGCAAACUCAUAGGCUGCUCUCCAGACUGCCCAAGUUGGGAACUCUGGUGCUGGCGCGGGGUGCAGUAGUCUGUGUUUUAAUGCACCCACCAGGCGAUUCCAAUGCUGACUCGAGUUUGAGAGCCGCUGCUCGCCAUGAGUGUUUCACAAAUUGCAUAGCACAGCCAUUCCUUUGUUGUUCCCUCUACCUGGGAUGCCUUUCUCCCUAUCUCUGUCAGUAGCAGACUCACUCAUGUUUGGGGGACUCUGAACACGCCACCUCCUCCAGAAAGUAUCCCCAGAUCCCCACAGUCUGGAGGAAUAACUCCCUGGGGAUACUCACAGGCUGUGCUUGUCUCUUCAAUCCCUGGUUUAUUCAGGCCAGAGCUUCCUGCCUCCCCAACUGGGAUGUGAGCUCCUUUCUGCAGUACCAGGUUUUCUUCAACUCCCCAGCCCCUGGCUCCAUCGAGCCAAACUUACAUUGGUAUUCAAUAAAUGCUGUUGGUUUGGUUUUUUUGUUUUUUUUUUUUUUUUUUUGAGACGGAGUCUCGCUCUGUUGCCCAGCCUGGAGUGCAGUGGUGCAAUCUCCGCUCACUGCAAGCUCUGCCUCCCGUGUUCAUGCCAUUCUCCUGCCUCAGCCUCCCGAGUAGCUGGGACCACAGGCACCUGCCACCACCCAGCUAAUUUUUUGUAUUUUUAGUAGAGACAGGAUUUCACUGUGUUAGCCAGGAUGGUCUCGAUCUCCUGACCUCGUGAUCCACCCGCCUCAGCCUCCCAAAGUGCUGGGAUUACAGGCAUGAGCCAACAUGCCUGGCCUGCUGUUGGUUAGAAUAAUACCACAGAGCAUCAGUCUAGUCCACUCCUAGAUAUAGACUCACAAAGAAGAAAGCCAGGUGGCACAGUGAU
rnacentral:lncRNA from 1 species